rnacentral:rRNA from 1 species
CAGCAGCCGCGGGAAUACGAAGGGUGCAAGCGUUACUCGGAAUUACUGGGCGUAAAGCGUGCGUAGGUGGUUGUUUAAGUCUGCUGUGAAAGCCCUGGGCUCAACCUGGGAAUUGCAGUGGAUACUGGGCGACUAGAGUAAGGUAGAGGAUAGUGGAAUUUCCGGUGUAGCAGUGAAAUGCGUAGAGAUCGGAAGGAACAUCUGUGGCGAAGGCGACUAUCUGGGCCAUUACUGACACUGAGGCACGAAAGCGUGGGGAGCAAACAGGAUUAGAUACCCCAGUAGUCCCUGUCUCUUAUAA